AUUGAACGCUGGCGGCAGGCCUAACACAUGCAAGUCGAACGGUAACAGGAAACGUCUUGCUGGUUCGCUGACGAGUGGCGGACGGGUGAGUAAUGUCUGGGAAACUGCCUGAUGGAGGGGGAUAACUACUGGAAACGGUAGCUAAUACCGCAUAACGUCGCAAGGCCAGAGAGGGGGACCUUCGGGCCUCUUGCCAUCGGAUGGGCCCAGAUGGGAUUAGCUAGUAGGGGGGGUAACGGCCUACCUAGGCGACGAUCCCUAGCUGGUCUGAGAGGAUGACCAGCCACACUGGAACUGAGACACGGUCCAGACUCCUACGGGAGGCAGCAGUGGGGAAUAUUGCACAAUGGGCGAAAGCCUGAUGCAGCCAUGCCGCGUGUAUGAAGAAGGCCUUCGGGUUGUAAAGUACUUUCAGCGGGGAUGAAGGGAGUAAAGUUAAUACCUUUGCUCAUUGACGUUACCAGCAGAAGAAGCACCGGCUAACUCCGUG
rnacentral:rRNA from 1 species